rnacentral:rRNA from 1 species
UAGGGAAUCUUCCACAAUGGACGCAAGUCUGAUGGAGCAACGCCGCGUGAGUGAAGAAGGUUUUCGGACCGUAAAGCUCUGUUGUUGGUGAAGAAGGAUAGAGGUAGUAACUGGCCUUUAUUUGACGGUAAUCAACCAGAAAGUCACGGCUAACUACGUGCCAGCAGCCGCGGUAAUACGUAGGUGGCAAGCGUUGUCCGGAUUUAUUGGGCGUAAAGCGAGCGCAGGCGGAGGAAUAAGUCUGAUGUGAAAGCCCUCGGCUUAACCGAGGAAUUGCAUCGGAAACUGUUUUCUUGAGUGCAGAAGAGGAGAGUAGAACUCCAUGUGUAGCGGUGGAAUGCGUAGAUAUAUGGAAGAAUACCAGUGGCGAAGGCGGCUCUCUGGUCUGCAACUGACGCUGAGGCUCGAAAGCAUGGGUAGCGAACAGGAUUAGAUACCCUGGUAGUCCAUGCCGUAAACGAUGAGUGCUAAGUGUUGGGAGGCUUCCGCCUCUCAGUGCUGCAGCUAACGCAUUAAGCACUCCGCCUGGGGGAGUACGACCGCAAGGUUGAA